UACGUGAAACCCGUUCAGGGGUAAACCUGAGAAACCCGAAAGUUCGAAAGGGGAGAUUCAGCGUGGCUCGACGGCGGCGCGGGAAGGUCGAGUGACGGACGGCGUACGCGUCGUCCGCGCCUUCCUUCUCCGUGGACCGUUAUCGAACGCGUGCACUUCUCCCCUAGUAGGACGUCGCGAUCCGUUGGGUGUCGGUCUAAGGCCCGUGGUGGAGCCCGUCCGGACGGCUUGCCGUUCCGGACGAACCCACGGUGUUUCCCGGCCGACUCGCUCGACGGUAUACAUGUGGCGCGGGGCCGCUACUCAGUUAGCGUCCGAAACGCGGCAAGCUCCCUCGUGCGGUUGGUGAUCGGACCUAGUGCCGUUCCCGACCCCGAGAGGUUGUUGGCUGCGUCCCUCUAGGACAGACCCCGUUGAAACGCCGAUCAGCGACGCUAUAGCUUUGGGUACUUUCAGGACCCGUCUUGAAACACGGACCAAGGAGUCUAGCAUGUGCGCGAGUCAUUAGGACAUCACUAAACCUAAAGGCGAAAUGAAAGUGAAGGUCCGCCUUGUGCGGACCGUGGGAGGAUGGGUAGCCGUUUCGGUUGCUGCCCCGCACUCCCGGGGCGUCUCAUUCUCAUUGCGAGAAGAGGCGCACCAAGAGCGUACACGCUGGGACCCGAAAGAUGGUGAACUAUGCCUGGUCAGGACGAAGUCAGGGGAAACCCUGAUGGAGGUCCGUAGCGAUUCUGACGUGCAAAUCGAUCGUCGGAACUGGGUAUAGGGGCGAAAGACUAAUCGAACCAUC
rnacentral:rRNA from 1 species